CCUUCGCGCCUUGUAACAGGUGCCCCCAACGCUGUGCGUGUGUGGGGUGAAACUGGGAAGUCGGUGCGCUGUGCGUGUGAACGCCCGCUAUUCCGACGCUGCCCCCGCAACGGUAAGUGAGUCAAACGCCGCAAGUGCCACUGUGCUCAAGCAUGGGAAGGCGCGGCAUAGAGCCUGCUAGGUUCUGAGAACCUCAAGGUUCGCUCACAAGCCCGGAGACCGGCCUGUUGCAGUCCACGGCAU
rnacentral:ncRNA from 1 species